UACGGAGGGUGCAAGCGUUGUCCGGAUUUAUUGGGUUUAAAGGGUGCGUAGGCGGCUAUAUAAGUCAGUGGUGAAAUCCCAGGGCUCAACCCUGGAACUGCCAUUGAUACUGUAUAGCUUGAGUUCGGUUGAGGCAGGCGGAACUGGUGGUGUAGCGGUGAAAUGCAUAGAUACCACCAAGAACCCCGAUUGCGUAGGCAGCUUGCUGGACCGAAACUGACGCUGAGGCACGAAAGCGUGGGGAGCGAACAGG
rnacentral:rRNA from 1 species